rnacentral:rRNA from 1 species
UACAGAGGGUGCAAGCGUUGUCCGGAAUCACUGGGCGUAAAGGGCGCGUAGGCGGCCCGGUAAGUAGGGGGUGAAAUCUCACGGCUCAACUGUGAGGCUGCCUUCUAGACUGCCAGGCUCGAGCACAGUAGAGGCUGGUGGAAUUCCCGGUGUAGCGGUGGAAUGCGUAGAGAUCGGGAAGAACAUCUGUGGCGAAGGCGGCCAGCUGGGCUGUUGCUGACGCUGAGGCGCGACAGCGUGGGGGAGCAAACAGG